UAGGGCUGGGUAUCGAAUUUCGAUCCGGUUAUGGCACCGACCGAAAUGCUCCGAUCCUAUCGAAUAUCAAAACAUUAAUAGUUUUCCGGUGCCGUAUUUCGAUACUCAAUGAAAUUAAUCCCAGCCUGUCUGCCAAUAGUAAUAUCGUUUUCAACUGUUUCUGGGUAAAUGCUACGUCUGUGAGCCAAUAAUCAUGUGGUAUUAGUGGUUACGAAUCUUAAGUCGCUGGUGAUUGGCUGUCACAUUUUCGGAGCGCGAGACACGUUUGUCUACUUGACCGUCACUAUAUCAAACUUUGUCAGCUGUAACGUCACUCUUGACGUUGUCAUAAUGCCUAAAAGGUCCAAAGUGUGGCUCCACUUCGCUCAGGUGGACACCAAUAGAGCCAGAUGCUCUAUUUGCCAAAAAGUCGUGCUGGCGAAAGACGGCAACACAUCAAAUCUUGCGAAACAUUUAAUAAUGCACAAGAUUAACCUCCGGUCGGACAGCUGCUCCGUGUUUGACUGUAAAGCUAAGAAAGCUAAGAAGGACGACGGGACUUCAGUCACCAGACCGCCUCCUUCUUCCACAUCGAAUUCUCUAUCGGCUAGUGACCGGGAUUCAGCUGGGAGUUUGGCCAACAACAUUACAGCAGGUGGACGAUGGGGACAGCUCAUGCGAUGAAGCCAGUUCAGCUGCAACAGAGAAACUGACAAAGCUGUCUGCGCUGGAGGAGUUGUUCAUGGAUGAGGACAUAGAGGUGGGAGAGCGGAAUUACCCAAUUGCGAGCCAAAGGGAUAAGGUGAAAGAAGAAAUCCGCCACUACAGAGGUUUGCCAUCAACUUUGUCAACUGUUGAUCCAGUGACCUGG